rnacentral:snRNA from 1 species
AUGCUUAACUGGCAGUGGAGUUACCAUGAUCAUGAAGGUGGUUUUCCCAGGGUGAGGCUUAUUUAUUGCACUCUGAAUGUGCUGACCCCUGUGAUUUCCUUAAAUGUGGGAAACUGGACUGCAUAAUUUAUAAUAGUGGGGAAUUGUGUUGCCAAUUUCCCCU